UACGUAGGUCGCAAGCGUUAUCCGGAUUUACUGGGCGUAAAGCGUCCGUAGCUGGUUUGGUAAGUUCGUUUUUAAAUAUCCUAGCUCAACUAGGAAAAGGGAACGAAUACUGCCAUUCUAGAGUGUGAUAGGGGAUAGUAGAAUUUCCGGUGGAGGGGUGAAAUCCGUUGAUAUCGGAAGGAAUACCAAAAGCGAAGGCAGCUAUCUAUAUCACCACUGACGGUCAGGGACGAAAGUCUGGGUAGCGAAC
rnacentral:rRNA from 1 species